rnacentral:rRNA from 1 species
CUAAGAAUCUUCCGCAAUGGGGGCAACCCUGACGGAGCGAUGCCGCGUGGAUGACGAAGGUCGAGAGAUUGUAAAGUCCUUUUCUGGAUGAGGCGUUAGUUCAGGAAUAAGCCCCGGCCAAUUACGUGCCAGCAGCCGCGGUAACACGUAAGGGGCGAGCGUUGUUCGGAAUUAUUGGGCGUAAAGGGCGUGCAGGCGGUUUGACAAGUCUGUUGUGAAAGACCGGGGCUUAACUCCGGGAGCGCGAUGGAAACUGUCAGACUAGAGUACUGGAGGGGAGCUGGAAUUCCUAGUGUAGGGGUGAAAUCUGUUGAUAUUAGGAAGAACACCGGUGGCGAAGGCGAGCUCCUGGCCGCGUACUGACGCUGAGGCGCGAAAGCGUAGGUAGCAAACAGGAUUAGAUACCCUAGUAGU